rnacentral:sRNA from 1 species
AAUAGUAAAUCAUAUACCCAUUAAUCCCAAACCCGAACGGGUUCUACAUGAACUCGAAUGGGUUACUCAUAUGUCCAGCCCUAUUCUCUGAUUUAAUUAUCUAAAAAAUCCCAAUAAACAUAUGUUUUGGUGAGUACUUUUUAUUCAAAAAAAUUUACAUCCUCUUCUGCCAAAAUCAUUUCAUAAGACAUCCCAAAAUCUUUGGAAUAAUGAUUCCAUGAAUGAAGAAUCCUAAUUUGAAUAUACCAAGAGGUUUUGAAAGGUUUUAAGUUUUUGAUAGGUGUGUAUGUGAGAAGGUACAUCCAUCGUGAUGGUAAUCUGCUUAUUUAUAAUUUUAACUUGCAUUAUACAGCAGAUAGGCUUAUAUUUUAGUUAAACUAAAAACUUUUAUUGUAAA